GAGGGUGUAGCUCAGUGGUAGAGUGCGUGCUUCCCGCGCAAGAGGUCUUGGGUUCAAUCCCCAGUGCCUCCA
rnacentral:tRNA from 1 species